GCGGCAAACGGGUGAGAAACGCGUGAGAAUCUACCUUUCAGUGAGGAAUACCCUCGAGAAAUCGAGGUUAAUACUGCAUACGUCCCUUCGGGGAGAAAGGCGGCCUCUUGCUGUCGCUGAAAGAUGAGCUUGCGUACUAUUAGCUAGUUGGUAGGGUAAUAGCCUACCAAGGCGAUGAUGGUUAGCCGGCCUGAGAGGGUGUACGGCCACACUGGAACUUAGACACAGUCCAGACUCCUACGGGAGGCAGCAGUGAGGAAUCUUGCUCAAUGGGCGAAAGCCUGAAGCAGCGACGCCGCGUGAAGGAUGAAGGUCUUCGGAUUGUAAACUUCUGUUAAGUGGGAAGAAAUCUCUAUUUCUAAUACAGAUAGAGGAUGACGGUACCAUUAGAGAAAGCACCGGCUAAUCUCGUGCCAGCAGCCGCGGUAAUACGAGAGGUGCAAGCGUUAUUCGGAAUUAUUGGGCGUAAAGGGUGUGUAGACGGCAUAUUAAGUCAACUGUUAAAUUCCUCGGCCCAACUGAGGGUAUGCGGUAGAAACUGAUGUGCUAGAGGGUGAGAGAGAGAAGUGGAAUUCUCGGAGUAGCGGUAAAAUGCGUAGAUCUCGAGAGGAACACCGAUGGCGAAGGCAGCUUCUUGGCUCACUCCUGACGUUGAGGCACGAAAGCGUGGGGAGCAAACAGGAUUAGAUACCCUGGUAGUCCAC
rnacentral:rRNA from 1 species